rnacentral:lncRNA from 1 species
UGCUCCUUUUCUUGUAAUGCUUUUUAAACCAUCAUCGUUGACGCUCCAAUACUCCGACAAUCCAUCCGUAGUAACAACAAGAGAGCAAUCAAUCCUGCACUCACCACGUCAAUAACAAUGGCCACCGGUUUGGUCUGGCUGGAGCUUCUUAAUGUUAUUGGCGGGCUACAAAGGGGAAGACAAACGAAUUUCUACACAUCGUACCCGUAUAAUGUUUCGAUUUGAAAUCUGGUUCGUACGACCCUUGGGUUUAGUUCUUAUUUGAAGAUGCAGAGACAAAGAAUGAUUUCAGGUUAUUGCCUUCACUGGAAAUGCCCUACAGCAACAUUGAGGUUUACAAGCAAAUAAUUUGUGGGUAAGAUUCAUACAUGUGAAGAUGGUGGUAAGUAUAUUGGAGAAUUUAAAGGAGGUAUUAAACAUGGGCUUGGGCCUUGCCCACUAUCAUUUCAGCUAUUAGAUCAGAACGAGGUGCAAAAUUUACUCCCAUCAAUCCUUAAAGCCCAAAGUUGUGGAUUGAAAGUUGUACUGGAUGGUGAACACCAAAACGUGGGUGAUGGAAAAGAAAGCAGAAAAUGAAGCAGGAGCGUUGAAGUGGGUGCGGAGGCUUGAGAACAUUAAUGAUACUUUCAUGGAGCACCUGUGGUACCUGACUUGGUAUACUUCAACUAUCCUUAUUUUAUCAUUAACUAUAUUUUACCAGUAGUUAAAUUUGUAUGAUUAUAAAGUCUUAACUGUAAAAAUUGAUGGGAAUGACCCAAUCUGCAUGUUAUAUAAUAUUAGUUCAGUUUUAACUCCAAAUAACGUGAUAAGUAAAUAUGUGUCAUAUCAUUCACUUAUCUCUUAAGAUAUACAAGGAUCUAUACUGAACCAUAGUUUGCGUUCUGUUACCUAUUAUAAUUGAAAAAUAGACUCAGGUCACUACUUGGGUCUGCUUAUUUAUUGGAUAUAGAAAAAUGGAUGGGAUGACUCAUUUUGGUAAUAGACUUAUUUAUUGGAUAUAGAAAAAUGGAUGGGAUGACUCAUUUUGGUAAUAGACUGGUCAAAAUGAGUGCUUCUAAUUAGAGGUAGCAACAUGUACACGCGGUUAGCUUAAAUAAUAGCGUCAAGAUGUUCGGCUUAACCGUACACGCUGCAAAAACAGGUUGGUCAAGCCAACCUGGAUAUUGCUUAACAGGUUGAGCCUACACAUGGUAUAAUAAUAUACCAGCCGGAAGCAUUCACCCAUGUAGAUAGAUGGUCAAAAAUCCAUCUAGAAAGAGCACACAAAAGCUUAAUCUCUGGUUUUGUAAAUGGGAAAAUACGUUUUUGUUAAAAUGAGUGCUUUUUAUUAAAAAAUAUCCACGUCAAACUGGAAGUUUGUUUAUUCAUUUAGGGGUAAUAAACCUAGUGGUAGAUUAAAGUGAUUUGGAGAUAGAUGUAUAACUUCAUUGGCCCUUUGAGGAAGUCGAGACUUUGAGAUAAAAAGGCUAGGAGUUUGAAGAGAUUGAGCUAGAGCCCAAUUCCAUUAAUUCACUCGAUACAGGAACAACUACACAGGUUUUAUACUUCUAUUAUCAAUUUUAAUUUCUAUCGUUUUGUGGUUGUAAACUGUUGACGUUCGUUUUCCAUUUAUAAAUUAAAGAAUGGUGCUUUUGUUUGUCACAUUGUUUAAUUUUGUGUACGCUUAACAUAUGUUAGCUUGGUUUGUCACGUUGUACGCUUAACAGGUACAUUGUUCUACUAUCCACCCAUAGUUAUUGAUGCAUUUGUUUUAAAGCUCGAGACAUCAUAAUUUUCAUUUCAUUUCGUAGUGUUUAUGAGUUUUUCUAUAACAAUCAUAAGACCAUUGGAUGCACGUGGGAUCCACAAAGUAUGGGUGCUAAACGGGUCGUGUUCACGGGUUGGCAAGUUCAACCCGACACGAACCCGAAAACUUUAGACGGACCCGAACCGACCCGAACCCGAAAAUCGUGCCAUAUAUAUGAACCUGAACCCGACCCGAAUAUUCGCAUACUGACCCGAAACCAACCUGUUCAACCCGAAUUUUUUAUUUUUUUAUUUUUUUUUUCAGGAAAUUAAUAUAUUAAUAUUAUAUAAUAAAAUUACAUUAAAAUCAUAAAAAUUUAUGUCAACUUCCAUUUUUAAGUUAUAUUUAUAGCAUAAAAUACACACCCAACUUAAUUUAUCACAAUAAACAUAUUUUAAAAAAUAUAAUAUAAUAGAAAUGAGUUAAACGGGUCAACCCGUCAACCCGACUGGGUUGACCCGAACCUGACCUAUUUAGCUAAACGGGUUCGCGGGUUCAAACUGAAACUGACCCGAACCCGUUUAGACUAAACCCAAACCCACGAAUUUCGUGUUAGGUUCGUGUCGUGUUUUCGGGUCGUGUCAGAAAUUCACACCCCUACCACAAAGGCAAAGUUUCUUUCGCUUUCAGUUUGCCUAAAUGCAGGUGUCUCUUCACCAGAAUUUAUACUCAGAAGAGAAUUUGUAAGAGUUCUAUAAAUAGAAGACAUGAACAAAAUCAGACUAGAGAGAUGGUUGUAUGAAGUUGCAGUUGAAAGGUGUUGGUGGAAAGCAGAAUCCCUAUUGAAAUCCAUAAAAAUGCACAGCCACAGUGCCAUCACUAAGGAGAAAGAUAUGCCUUGGUGUUAGCUUCCAACACCAGGAUUUAUUCAGGAGAUAAUUUUUAAAGAUGGAUUCGACAAAUCAUGGGAGUCUAUCAGAUCGUAUCAUGAGUUACGAUGGUGAUUCUUCAAGGGAAAUGGUUGAAUCUGCAUUUGAGUCUGCAAAAAUUUUUAUAAAAUUGUCACUUAUGUCACUACCACAAUUUUGAAUUUUCCUGUGAAAGUAAGCAAUCCCGUAAUGAUGAUUCAAGCAUAUCAUCUUCUUGUG